ACUCCGCUAACUGACAUGACAUUCCUGUCAUUCAAACGGUGCAACGGUUUAUAAGUGUCGUUAUUUUGUGGAUUUGUGAAUUAAAUAAUAUAAAUAAAUAUGGAUAAAACUACAACUAUCAGAUAAAAAGCUGCCGUUUUCUUCUUCCGAAAGAGAGCUGCUGAUUGUAGCUUAAUAAGAGAAAGGCCUAUUAUUGAAGACAAGCAUAUUAUUAUCCUCUCUAAAAUAUCGAGUUGACGAAGCAGGCCUGGGAAACUCUAACAGUGGCUUACAAUUCUCAACCAUAUUUUAUGUUUCACAAAGGCUCACACGUCAACUGAAAAGCUGCUGGAAUAAUUUAAAGACCCAAAGAAUGAAAGAACUUUCUCAGGAAUCAAUCAAACGUUCUCAACACCCACUAGUAGGUAUCAAGAAAUUAAGAUUAGUAGUAGCAAGAAUGAAGAUUAAGACAGAAACAAGAAUCAAACGCACCACAUUGAAUAAUAUACAACAAGACCAGGCUUUGCACGAGUUGGGGCUACAAAGAGAAAAAAUAUUGAUAGAAAGAGAAAACAAUUUGU